rnacentral:pre_miRNA from 1 species
UUACUACUCCCUCCGUCCAACAAAAGAUGUCUCAACUUUGACUAAAUUUGAAUGCAUCAAAAUUUGGAUGUAUCUAGACAUGACUUAGUGUAUCAAAAUUUGGAUGUAUCUAGACAUGACUUAGUGUAUAGAUGCAUUCAAAUUUAGUCAAAGUUGAGACAUCUUUUGUUGGACGGAGGGAGUAUGAU